rnacentral:rRNA from 1 species
AGCGAACGCUGGCGGCAUGCCUAACACAUGCAAGUCGAACGAACUCUUCGGAUUUAGUGGCGGACGGGUGCGUAACACGUGGGAACGUGCCCUUUGGUUCGGAAUAACUCAGGGAAACUUGUGCUAAUACCGAAUGUGCCCUUCGGGGGAAAGAUUUAUCGCCAAUAGAGCGGCCCGCGUCUGAUUAGCUAGUUGGUGAGGUAACGGCUCACCAAGGCGACGAUCAGUAGCUGGUCUGAGAGGAUGACCAGCCACACUGGGACUGAGACACGGCCCAGACUCCUACGGGAGGCAGCAGUGGGGAAUCUUGCGCAAUGGGCGAAAGCCUGACGCAGCCAUGCCGCGUGAAUGAUGAAGGUCUUAGGAUUGUAAAGUUCUUUUACCGGGGACGAUAAUGACAGUACCGGGAGAAGAAGCCCCGGCUAACUUCGUG